CUUCUGCCCGCAGCAACCGGUUCCCACGAGCCCUGGGGCGGUUUUGAGACUGGAGGCGGGAGUGGGUUGGACGCGCGUCCCGGCUCCUGAGACCCAGCUGGAGUUUCAGAGUCAGAAAAGAAGGCACAGAUGUAAAACCAGUUUACAUUCAGAAGAAACAGAAUCAAAGAAUGCUCUCUACCUAGCUGCCUCCUCAACAGUGACAGUCAGGAAAAUGUGACCAUCACUGCGUUAGCAGAAAGCCGAGAAACCAUUGGUGAACCAUCCUGACAAACUCCCUGUUAUGGUGGAGCUUACACUCUGGUGAAAAGGGAGCAGGCCAGAAAUGCCAGGUCAGUUAACAUCCCCAGGGAGCUGCCACCAGCCAGUGAUGAAUGAGAAGUGGAGGAAAAAAUACCCCAGUUCCCCUGCCCUUGGAUGGGACAACUCUGGGUCAUGUUCGCCAUGGAUCCCAACAGGAUUGAGGCCCAGUUACCCUCAGUGAUAAUCUGCUCACUAAAAACUCUUUAGUCAUGCAAACUUUCAUGCCUCUUUCUUUAUGAGUGCUUUCUGGAAUCCCCUCCCAAAUAAACCAUUGGCACUAAAAUCUUUGUCUUC